rnacentral:rRNA from 1 species
CGAUGCAACGCGAAGAACCUUACCUACUCUUGACAUCCAGAGAAUUCGCUAGAGAUAGCUUAGUGCCUUCGGGAACUCUGAGACAGGUGCUGCAUGGCUGUCGUCAGCUCGUGUUGUGAAAUGUUGGGUUAAGUCCCGCAACGAGCGCAACCCUUAUCCUUUGUUGCCAGCGAGUAAUGUCGGGAACUCAAAGGAGACUGCCGGUGAUAAACCGGAGGAAGGUGGGGAUGACGUCAAGUCAUCAUGGCCCUUACGAGUAGGGCUACACACGUGCUACAAUGGCAUAUACAAAGAGAAGCGAACUCGCGAGAGCAAGCGGACCUCAUAAAGUAUGUCGUAGUCCGGAUUGGAGUCUGCAACUCGACUCCAU